ensembl:lincRNA
GGGUUUGUUCUAUCACUCAUCACUUUAAAAGGCUUAUGAAUCCGCAGUCAAAACCAACAGGAGCCAGGCAUUCGCGGUGCACACCUGUAAUCUCAGCACUUGGGAGGCUGAGGCAGGAGGAUCGCCACUAGUUCAAGGCCAGCUUGGGCUCCAUAGUUCAAGGGUGGUCUGAACUAUGUGGCAAGACCCCCGUCUCAAAGAAGAGUUCAAGGCCAGCCUGAACUGCAAAGCAAAACCCUGCCUCAAAAGGCCCCCCUAAAAAAUUAAAGAAAAAAAAAAACAAACAAACCAAAAAACCCUCAGACAACAACAACAAGAACAAAGCUCCAGAGGGUGUAUUGGAUAUAUCUCUCCUGAAAUGUUGUCUCUGGGCUCUCCAAGUGGACCCCAGGAUACGCACUGUCUUGGAACGGCCUCAGAAGGGAAACGGCUGCCGUCUCCUCGUGGGCCAAAUGUCAGCAAAUUCUUCAGCAGCUAACGGACACCCAGCCUUGGGGACUGGGGCUCCCAGGGUUCCAGCCGGGGACCUGACACACGUGCUGUCUCUCCCCUCUCUGGAGCCGACCUGGGAGGGCCACGCCCCGUGAUCCUUCCAGUCAGCGGUCCAGGUGUCGGGACUGGAGUCCUUGGCACACCGGUCCUGCCUGGCCUCACCGGCGGAAGCCUGACAUUCCCGAAAACAGAACCCGCCCCCUGCGUGCUGCUGUGAGCCCAUGGGAGACCUGAACCUCCACUGAAGAAGGAGAAGGUCGCUUCCUCAUGCCCAGGCGCAAGCAGACAGCGGCGGCCAUGUGGUCACUGGCUGAGCCCCGGCCGAGCCCCGGUUGUCCAAGUCCUCGGGUCACAGCCUUGUCACAGACCGAACAAUCGAAGAUAUCAAUCGGAUAUUUUCCAGCGUGGGACAGCUGUGUACGGCCAGUCUCUUCCAGACCCUUCUGCCUCAGCCUUCUAAGUGGCUCCUGCCAGUUUUUUGCAAGAUGUUUUCAAGUUGCAAGCUGGGGUUGUUCCAGGCUGCUCAGAGAAUUAUUCCUGUUCUUGGAUCUGCCUGGCCACUUUGGUGAUGAAUACAAUUGAUUAGCCUAAAAGGAAAGUGUAGAUCAGUGGUAGCUGUCUCUCAUGUAAUUCUGUAGAAAUGUGGUAUUGUAAGGGUCCUGCUGCUCCAGGGCACAUCCCUACCUUCCUGCAACGGGCUGACAGAGUUUUCAGCUUUGGAGACCAGGUUGUUGCUCAGGUCACUACUCUUAUCCUAGAGGAAAAGCUACUGCAGGUAGAAUGAAUGUUCACGGCUGGGUGCCAAUAAAACUUUAUUCAAACAGGCACUGGAGCUAGGUGCAGUACCACAUGCCUGUAAUCCCAGCAUUCUGAGAGGCUGAGCCAGGAGGAUUGCAAGUUUGGAUAUCUUAGUGAGACCCUCAAAAAAUAAAAAGGGCUGGGUAUAUAGCUCAGUGUGAAGCCACUGUGUUCAACUCCCAGUACCAAAACACCACCCAAAACCCAGAACCCCAAAAUCAGGUGCAGCAUUUGGCCAGAGGGCUGGAAUUCACUGACCUCUGUCUGGCCAUGGCCAGGAAAACGCCAGCCCCACUCCAGGAGUCAUUUGAGCAGGCAGCCACUAGGUGGCAGCAGGGAGCCGGCUCCCAGGUCCCCAGUGUCUCCCACAGCGGGGGCAGCCCAGCAUGGCCGAGGCACCUGUCAGGAUGAAGUGGCUCUGACUCGCACACCUGUGCUCCCAGCAGGAUGCUCCACAGCAGACUGAAGGUGGAAACGACCCAGUGUCCACCCACCGGUGGAGGGGAACAAGAGGAGUCUGUCUGCACACUGGAGCACGAUGCAGCCAGGAAAAGGAAGUCCACAGCCUGGUUGGACCUUGAGGCCGGGCUGCUCAGGAGCCUAGCCAGACAUAGAAGGUCACACACUGCAGGGUCCCUCUCCCAGGACGGCCCUGUGUGGUCAGAGCCACAGAGAUGGAAGACGGGGACGCCGGGCUGGGGCAAGGAAUGGGGGUCAGCAUUUCCUGGGUGGAGGCUCAGCUGAGGGAGGUGAGAGAGGCCUGGAGGUGGAGGAGGGCUACGGGCUGGGUUUUCCCUUGCCAAAUUCAUUUGCUGAAACUCCAGCCCCCGGGUGAUGGUGCUGAGAGGUGAGGGCUUGGAAGAUUUUUUGUGUGUACAUUAUUGAGGGUUGAGUCCAGGGCCUUUGCAUUUGGCUACAUCUCCAGCCUUGUUCUUUUUUUCUUUUUGAGACAGGGUCUCACUAUGUAGUUCAGGCUGGCCUUGAGUUCACUUUGUAGCCCAGGCUGUUCUUGAACUUGCAAGGAUUCUCCUGCCUCAGCCUCCAGAGUGCUGGGAUUACAGGUGUGUGCCACCAUGUCCAGCUCUCCAGCUCUUUUUAUUUUAUUUAUUUAUUUCAAUUUAAAAAAAGAGUCUAGUUAAGUUAUCAAAUUGCCCAGGCGGAGCUCUGCCUUGCGAUCCUCCUGCCUAAGCCUCCCAAGUAGCUGGGAUGCCAGGCACCCAGCACCUUUGGAGGGAGUUAGAGUCAUAUGGGAAGUGCCCCUCCUCCAUUAGUGCCUCUGUAAGAAGUGGGAGAGGCCAGAGCUCGCCCUCCCUACUACAAGAGGACGGAGCCAGCAGGUGGCGUCCACAGCACAGAAGCUGGUCCUCCGCAGGAACUUGGCUCAGGCCACCCUGAUCUUGUGGGCUUCUGGGCUCCAGAAUUGACAAAUAAAGGUUCGUGGUUUCAGCCCCAGCUGGGGGUCCUGUCGCAGCACCCAAACAGAGCUGCUGGUGGAGACUUGCACAGCACCAAGGAUGUGCUUAAGGCUGCUCGAGUGGGCACUCAAAAACGCCAAAGAUGGUCAGUUUGAAUUUACAUAUAUUUUGUCACAAUAAAAAAAAAAUUGGUGUUGGGCACAGUGGCACAUGCUUGUGAGCAUAGCCCUCAGGGAGGCUGAGGCAGGAGGGCUGCAAGUUCAGAGUCUUUUUGCUGAGCUAUAUCCCCAGCCUCUUUGUUAUGUUUUAUUUUAGGACCUUGGCUGAGUUGCCAAGGAUGGCUAUAGAAUCCAGGCUGGCCUUGAGCUCCCAGUGAUCCUCCUGCCUCAGCCUCCUGAGUGCUGGGGUGUCAGGCGUGUGCCACGACACACGGCUUCAGUUGUCAUUGUUCAGAGUGACCCACAAAUGUGUACACUGGCUCUCAGAUUGAGAGUGGGCCAUCCCGUGUGUGCACUACCGGGCAUGGCCUCUGCCACAGAGCUGGAAUUUUGGGCCCAUCCUGGACUUGUGACCAGGACUGGUUUGUGCCUGGUGGUUCCCAGCCCUAAUCUCCAGGUCAAGAAAAUGCUGGUUGCUGACUGAGCCCUUUCCUGCUGCCUCAGCGGAAUCUGGCCUGUCAGUUCUGCCUGCAGGAUGAAGCGUGGCAGCAGGUGGCCCAGCCUGCUGGAAAGCUCCGUGCUGGGCAGAAGGCCUCAUGGUCACAGUGUGCAGAGAUCGGGGGCAGGGAGGGGGCAGGCAAGGAGUGGGACCUGGGGAACUGUAUUUGCCCACUCUGUGUUAGUCUAAUUAAAUGCUGAGACUGGAUCCUCUUAGAGAGGAGAAAAGGUUAGUGUGCGCCUGUCAUCCCAGAUCCUUAGGCGGCUGAGGCAGGCGAAUCUCAACGAUGCAGAAGGUGUGAACUAGCUGGGCCUAUGUGUGGUGGUGCAUGCUUGUAAUCCCAGCAUGCGGGAGGCUGGGGCAGGAGGAUCCUUGCAAGUUCGAGGCCAGCCUGGACUACAAAGUGAGCUCAAGGUCAGCCUGAACUGCAUAGUGAGACCCUGUCUCAAACACACACACACACACACACACACACACACACACACACACACACGGUGCAAACUCAAUCU